GAUGAACGCUAGCUACAGGCUUAACACAUGCAAGUCGCGGGGCAGCAUGGGGGUUGCUUGCAAUCCCCGAUGGCGACCGGCGCACGGGUGAGUAACGCGUAUCCAACCUGCCCUUCACCACGGGAUAACCCGGCGAAAGUCGGACUAAUACCGUAUGUUGUCCAUUGACGGCAUCCGAUUUGGACGAAAGGCUUGGCGGUGAGGGAUGGGGAUGCGUCCGAUUAGCCAGACGGCGGGGUAACGGCCCACCGUGGCUACGAUCGGUAGGGGUUCUGAGAGGAAGGUCCCCCACACUGGAACUGAGACACGGUCCAGACUCCUACGGGAGGCAGCAGUGAGGAAUAGUGGUCAAUGGGCGUAAGCCUGAACCAGCCAAGUAGCGUGCAGGAUGACGGCCCUAUGGGUUGUAAACUGCUUUUAUGCGGGGAUAAAGUGGCCCACGUGUGGGCUUUUGCAGGUACCGCAUGAAUAAGAACCGGCUAAUUCCGUG
rnacentral:rRNA from 1 species